UACGUAGGGUCCGAGCGUUGUCCGGAAUUACUGGGCGUAAAGCGUGCGCAGGCGGUGUCUUAAGUUUGUUGUGAAAUCUCCCGGCUUAACCGGGAGGGUGCGGCGAAUACUGAGAUGCUGGAGUGCCGGAGAGGUAAGCGGAAUUCCUGGUGUAGCGGUGAAAUGCGUAGAUAUCAGGAGGAACACCUGCGGUGUAGACGGCUUACUGGACGGUAACUGACGCUGAGGCACGAAAGCGUGGGUAGCAAACAGG
rnacentral:rRNA from 1 species